rnacentral:rRNA from 1 species
CAAGUCGAACGGGAAUCUUCGGAUUCUAGUGGCGGACGGGUGAGUAACGCGUAAGAAUCUAACUUCAGGACGGGGACAACAGUUGGAAACGACUGCUAAUACCCGAUGUGCCGAAAGGUGAAACCUAAUUGGCCUGAAGAAGAGCUUGCGUCUGAUUAGCUAAUUGGUGGGGUAAAGGCCUACCAAGGCGACGAUCAGUAGCUGGUCUGAGAGGAUGAGCAGCCACACUGGGACUGAGACACGGCCCAGACUCCUACGGGAGGCAGCAGUGGGGAAUUUUCCGCAAUGGGCGAAAGCCUGACGGAGCAACGCCGCGUGAGGGAGGAAGGUCUUUGGAUUGUAAACCUCUUUUCUCAAGGAAGAAGUUCUGACGGUACUUGAGGAAUCAGCCUCGGCUAACUCCGUGCCAGCAGCCGCGGUAAUACGGGGGAGGCAAGCGUUAUCCGGAAUUAUUGGGCGUAAAGCGUCCGCAGGUGGUCAGCCAAGUCUGCCGUCAAAUCAGGUUGCUUAACGACCUAAAGGCGGUGGAAACUGGCAGACUAGAGAGCAGUAGGGGUAGCAGGAAUUCCCAGUGUAGCGGUGAAAUGCGUAGAGAUUGGGAAGAACAUCGGUGGCGAAAGCGUGCUACUGGGCUGUAUCUGACACUCAGGGACGAAAGCUAGGGGAGCGAAAGGGAUUAGAUACCCCUGUAGUCCUAGCCGUAAACGAUGGAUACUAGGCGUGGCUUGUAUCGACCCGAGCCGUGCCGAAGCUAACGCGUUAAGUAUCCCGCCUGGGGAGUACGCACGCAAGUGUGAAACUCAAAGGAAUUGACGG